GUGUAUUCAUAAUUGCUCAUUGAAGCAGUUUUAUGAUGGAGACUUCAUUUGGAUGUUGUCUACCCUUUCCCAUUCAUCUGGAAAUGUCCCAUCUUUUUCCUGGACCAGCAAUAUCUGGCAAGGGUAGCUGAAAUACAACAUCAUAAUUUUUACUGGAAAAUAGCCACAAUGAAGGAACACCACAAUUUCACCAUGAAAACCAGCACAACCUUACACAGAUGACAAACAUUUCCCCUCAAAACUUGUUAAACUGUAUUUGGGCUGACCAAAUUAACCAGAGUUAUUCUAUUUAUGGGGGAGCAGGAAGUAACUUGAUAAAAUGCUUUGAGUUUAUAUAUCAUGUCAAAUAAAUAGCAUAAUUUUAAAGGAAAAAAACUUGUUAGGCAAUGUUCUCUUAUUUUCUGACAUCACAUAUUGUGACAGAAUGUAAGGCCAACCUGGUUUUUACAAAUUCCGUGGUCUAAUUUUUUUGUUGUUGUUAGUGUAUAAAAAUAGCA
rnacentral:lncRNA from 10 species